rnacentral:rRNA from 1 species
AUUGAACGCUGGCGGCAGGCCUAACACAUGCAAGUCGAGCGGAUGAAGGGAGCUUGCUCCUGGAUUCAGCGGCGGACGGGUGAGUAAUGCCUAGGAAUCUGCCUGGUAGUGGGGGAUAACGUCCGGAAACGGGCGCUAAUACCGCAUACGUCCUGAGGGAGAAAGUGGGGGAUCUUCGGACCUCACGCUAUCAGAUGAGCCUAGGUCGGAUUAGCUAGUUGGUGGGGUAAAGGCCUACCAAGGCGACGAUCCGUAACUGGUCUGAGAGGAUGAUCAGUCACACUGGAACUGAGACACGGUCCAGACUCCUACGGGAGGCGGCAGUGGGGAAUAUUGGACAAUGGGCGUAAGCCUGAUCCAGCCAUGCCGCGUGUGUGAAGAAGGUCUUCGGAUUGUAAAGCACUUUAAGUUGGGAGGAAGGGCAGUAAGUUAAUACCUUGCUGUUUUGACGUUACCAACAGAAUAAGCACCGGCUAACUUCGUGC